GGGUCCGUAGUCUAGUUUGGAUUGGGCGCCAGCCUUCGGAGCUGGAUUCCGAGGGUUCAAAUCCCCCCGGACCCA
rnacentral:tRNA from 1 species